CAGCCGCCGCGGUAAUACGUAGGGUGCGAGCGUUAAUCGGAAUUACUGGGCGUAAAGCGUGCGCAGGCGGUUUUGUAAGACAGGCGUGAAAUCCCCGGGCUCAACCUGGGAAUGGCGCUUGUGACUGCAAAGCUAGAGUGCGGCAGAGGGGGAUGGAAUUCCGCGUGUAGCAGUGAAAUGCGUAGAUAUGCGGAGGAACACCGAUGGCGAAGACAAUCCCCUGGGCCUGCACUGACGCUCAUGCACGAAAGCGUGGGGAGCUAACAGGAUUAGAUACCCCCGUAGUCCCUGUCUCUUAUAC
rnacentral:rRNA from 1 species